AGACUCCAGCACAGCCCGAUGAGCUCGAGGGGCUAAGGCAGGAGAAGUGGGGAGCCUGGCGGAGGAAAGCGUGCCGCAAAGGACAGAAGGGUCCCCCAGAGGCCCGGGGCUCAACUAAGUCCAAAGGACCUGGAAAGGGCAAAAUGAGGGUGGGAACUUUCAAACGAGAAGGAAAAAAAGGCACGUGGAGGAAGUUUCCCAAACACCCGCCCCUUCCCCUCAUUUGUCUGCUCCGGGACCUACACUUCAGAGAAGUCCAAGGAGAAACAACAGCAAGCACCCCCACUGCUCCAGGAAGAACCUGAAUCAGAGCGAGGAACCGCCCUCAUCCUGUGGCACAGAUGAGGAAACGGAGGUCUAGGGACGUGAAUUAACCUCCCCAGCAGCACGUGGCUGGAAAAUGGCGAGGGGACCGGCAAUACCGUGCACCGGACAGCAGCCGGGUGGACUAGGACUAGGCCUCGAGUCGGAUGGCCUUGGGAUCGAGUUCUAAUCCAGCUGCUUACUGAAUGUGACUUUGGUCUGUGCCCCAAGUGCAUCAAUAAAAUGGGCGUAGUGUUGGGAUUAAGUAAA